rnacentral:rRNA from 1 species
AUUGAACGCUAGCGGGAUGCUUUACACAUGCAAGUCGAACGAGUGGCGGACGGGUGAGUAAUAUAUCGGAACGUGCCCAGUAGCGGGGGAUAACUACUCGAAAGAGGGCUAAUACCGCAUACUAUCGGAUCGACCAAGAUGGGAUUAGCUAGUUGGUGGGGUAAAGGCUCACCAAGGCGACGAUCCCUAGCUGGUCUGAGAGGAUGACCAGCCACACUGGGACUGAGACACGGCCCAGACUCCUACGGGAGGCAGCAGUGGGGAAUUUUGGACAAUGGGGGAAACCCUGAUGCAGCCAUGCCGCGUGUAUGAAGAAGGCCUUCGGGUUGUAAAGUACUUUCGGCAGGGAAGCGGUACCCGCAGAAGAAGCACCGGCUAACUCCGUGCCAGCAGCCGCGGUAAUAC